rnacentral:rRNA from 1 species
AUUGAACGCUGGCGGCAGGCCUAACACAUGCAAGUCGAACGAGUGGCGGACGGGUGAGUAAUGUCUGGGAACCUGCCCGAUGGAGGGGGAUAACUACUGGAAACGGUAGCUAAUCCCGCAUACCAUCGGAUGUGCCCAGAUGGGAUUAGCUAGUAGGUGGGGUAACGGCGCACCUAGGCGACGAUCCCUAGCUGGUCUGAGAGGAUGACGAGCCACACGGGAACUGGGAGACGGUCCAGACUCCUACGGGAGGCAGCGGUGGGGAAUAUUGCACAAUGGGCGCAAGCCUUAUGCAGCCAUGCCGCGUGUAUGAAGAAGGCCUUCGGGUUGUAAAGUACGUUCAGCGAGGAGGCGUUACUCGCAGAAGAAGCACCGGCUAACUCCGUGCCAGCCGCCGCGGUAAUUC